UACGGGGGGAGCAAGCGUUGUUCGGAUUUACUGGGCGUAAAGGGCGCGUAGGCGGUCAGCACAAGUCAGUUGUGAAAUCUCCGGGCUUAACUCGGAAAGGUCAACUGAUACUGUGCGACUAGAGUGCGGAAGGGGCAACUGGAAUUCUCGGUGUAGCGGUGAAAUGCGUAGAUAUCUGGAGGAACACCGGUGGCGAAGGCGGCAUCCUGGACCGACACUGACGCUGAGGAGCGAAAGCCAGGGGAGCAAACGGG
rnacentral:rRNA from 1 species